rnacentral:rRNA from 1 species
UCAUUCUAGAUACACUUUCCAGUACAUCUACUAUGUUACGACUUAUCUUACCUUAAUAAUAAGAGCGACGGGCGAUGUGUACAUAUUUUAGAGCUAAAAUCAAAUUAUUAAUCUUUAUAAUUUUACAACCAAAUCCACCUUCAAAAACUUUUUCAUAAUUUUAUUCGUUUAAAUAAAUUUAUUGUAACCCAUUAUUACAUAAAUAUAAGCUACACCUUGAUCUGAUAUAAAUUCUAAUAAAAAUUAUUGAAUAUUAUUAUUCUUAUAAAAUAUUCUGAUAACGACGGUAUAUAAACUGAUUACAAAUUUAAGUAAGGUCCAUCGUGGAUUAUCGAUUAUAAAACAGGUUCCUCUGGAUAGACUAAAAUACCGCCAAAUUUUUUAAGUUUCAAGAUCAUAUCUAUUACUACUUAAGU